rnacentral:rRNA from 1 species
AGAGUUUGAUCCUGGCUCAGGAUGAACGCUAGCUACAGGCUUAACACAUGCAAGUCGAGGGGCAGCAUUAUCGAAGCUUGCUUUGAUAGAUGGCGACCGGCGCACGGGUGCGUAACACGUAUCCAAUCUACCCAUGGCUCAGGGAUAGCCUUUCGAAAGAAAGAUUAAUACCUGAUGGUUUCAUGAGUCCGCAUGGACUUAUGAAUAAAGAUUUAUCGGCGAUGGAUGAGGAUGCGUCCGAUUAGCUUGUUGGCGGGGUAACGGCCCACCAAGGCGACGAUCGGUAGGGGCUCUGAGAGGAGGAUCCCCCACAUUGGAACUGAGACACGGUCCAAACUCCUACGGGAGGCAGCAGUGAGGAAUAUUGGUCAAUGGGCGAGAGCCUGAACCAGCCAAGUAGCGUGAGGGAUGACUGCCCUAUGGGUUGUAAACCUCUUUUGUUUGGGAAUAAAGUGAGCCACGUGUGGCUUUUUGUAUGUACCUUACGAAUAAGCAUCGGCUAAUUCCGUGCCAGCAGCCGCGGUAAUACGGAAGAUGCGAGCGUUAUCCGGAUUUAUUGGGUUUAAAGGGAGCGUAGGCGGGUCUUUAAGCCAGCGGUCAAAUGUCACGGCCCAACCUUGGCAUGCCGUUGGAACUGGGGACCUUGAAUACACACAAGAGGUGGAAUUCGUCGUGUAGCGGUGAAAUGCUUAGAUAUGACGAAGAACUCCGAUUGCGAAGGCAGCCUUCUGGGGUGCGAUUGACGCUGAGGCUCGAAAGUGCGGGUAUCGAACAG